GACGUAGGUAGCAAGCGUUGUCCGGAAUAACUGGGCGUAAAGGGUGCGUAGGCGGUCUUUUAAGUCUGAUGUGAAAUCCCGUGGCUUAACCAUGGAACUGCAUCGGAUACUGGGAGACUGGAGUGCGGAAGAGGUUGACGGAAUUACUAGUGUAGCGGUGGAAUGCGUAGAUAUUAGUAAGAAGACCGGUGGCGAAGGCGGUCAACUGGGACGUAACUGACGCUGAGGCACGAAAGCGUGGGGAGCAAAC
rnacentral:rRNA from 1 species